GCCAGCCGUGUAUUACUGGGCAGGCGGCUGGGGUGAGCGGCAGGCAGUCAGCUUGGCAGACUGACUAAGAUUCUGGCUGUCCAGCGGCCUCAAUGGCGCCGGCGUGAAGCGGGCAUCGUCAGUGUCUGACUGUCGCUCCCUGGUGUUCUAGUGGUUAGGAUUCGGCGUAUCGCCCGCCGCGGCCUGGGUUCGAUUCCCGUUCAGGGAAUUCUUCCUCUCUGCAACUUUGCCUCCUGACACCUCUCCCCCUUCUUGACACCUGUCCUGUCCUGCAAUGGGGGCCCACUACCUCACAUCACCUUUCUUUCAUUUGCCCAACAGCUUCGCCGCAGGACCCUGCUGCUCCUCUCCACUCAUACACCCUCCCUCGCAACCCAAAGGCCUACAGCCUCACCGGCGCUCCCUGCCCGCACACUCACCACCCUGUUCCUACCUUCCCACUCAUGCUCACCGUCUUUUCCUGCGCACACCAACUCCUCAGCGCUUGUCCAGCUAAGCCCUGCUACGGCCCGAACACCCAGCCUACACACUGCCACUAUCACACCGACGACACACACACAUCACGCAGAGCUCCCGCGCAAGCUUCCGACCCACUCAUGGAGCCCACAGAGUCUCCACCUCACUCUAUCGCCUGCUCUUAGGUCUCCAAGAAACCGUCUAGCUCGUCCCACCUGCCACACCUGCAUCACACGCUCCCUGGGACCUUUCCCCUGCUCUUCACAACUGAGCGCUGACUUCAAACAAAUGCAGUGAUUCUUUCCAGUCUACGGGGUGUGUGUGUGUGUUAGUGUGUGUGUGUGAAGAAUAUGUCUAUUUGUCUGCCUGUCUGUCUGUAUGUCUGUCCUCUGUAUGUAUGUGUAUGAGACUAGGCAUGUAUAUACGUAUGUAUGUAUGUAUGUAUAUGUGUGUGUGUAUGCAUGUGUAUCUUGCAAUACACCAGGGUCUCUAAUUGAUCGUUUAUGGUGGCAGUGUUACUAUGGGAUCAGGAAGAGAGCGCGUGGUGGCUGUGGGUGGUGUUGAUUCCAUUCUGAUAACAGACAGGGUGGCAGCUGAAAAUACCUGGUGUGGUUACUAAGCUUCCGCAGCGCCGCAGGGCUGACAGUGCGCGGACCCGGGCUCGAUUUCCUCGAAAGCCCCCAGAGCGGCUUGGGAGAGCUGAGGCCAAGCCUGGCUGUUUUAAGGCCGCUGUUUCUGCGGCUUCUUGUGUGCGCGGGCAAGCGGUGCAGAGGCGAGUGUGAGUCGGGAAAUUGGAGCGGAACUUCUGCCCAAAGUUUUGGGUUCUUUGCCGGGGACAGGACGUUCGUGAAUGCUGAUCGCUGAACCCCCGAGGAAAACCAGACAAAGGACAGAGGAGAACGUGAGGCUGAUCCGCACACCCCAAAAAGCAAAGAAGAAGUGACCAGAUGUGAGGAACCCGCGAGAAAAAAUCAGUGGAUGAUGAAAAUCAAGCCAGAUGGCUUCCAGAGCGACUGAUUCGGUGCAUUCAGCAGAAGGACAACGGACCUGAGGACAGCUUAGCUGACGACCAAGAAACGGAAUAAGAAAAGCCCCAGGAGGAACUGGUAACCCAGCCCACAGAGAGGAGCCUGGUCCUGACCUGCAGUCACCAACUCACAUCUCUGCAGGGAGACUUCAGACAAAGAGAUCCUGCUGAGAUGAGAUGACUGCAGUGUCUGCAGCUGGCUGUGGUGUGAAACCUGUUGCUUUAGAAUGAAGAUACAAACUGAACAUUUGAGUGUUCUCGGUUUAUGAGACACAGAACUCAUUUUGAAUAAAAUAUUAAACCUAAGAACUAAGACCUAAGUUUUCCCCUCAGGGAAAGAAAGAC